rnacentral:rRNA from 1 species
GAUGAACGCUGGCGGCGUGCCUAAUACAUGCAAGUCGAACGCUGGAAAUCUAGCUUGCUAGAUUGAAGGAGUGGCGAACGGGUGAGUAAUACAUAAGCAACCUACCCACGAAGACUGGGAUAAUCUCUGGAAACGGGGACUAAUACCGGAUAGGUAAUCGGAAGGCAUCUUCUGAUUAUUAAAGGUUAAAAACACUGGUGGAUGGGCUUAUGGCGCAUUAGUUAGUUGGUGAGGUAACGGCCCACCAAGACGAUGAUGCGUAGCCGGCCUGAGAGGGUGAACGGCCACAUGGGGACGGAGACAGGGCCCAGACGCCUACGGGAGGCAGCAGUAGGGAAUUGUCGGCAGUGGGGGAAACCCUGACCGAGCAACGCCGCGUGAGUGAUGACGGCCUUCGGGGUGUAAAGCUCUGUUGUAAGGGAAGAACGGUAGAUAGAGAAUAUCUAAAUGACGGUACCUUACCAGAAAGCCACGGCUAACUACGUG